rnacentral:rRNA from 1 species
AUUGAACGCUGACGGCAUGCCUUACACAUGCAAGUCGAACGGUAACAGGUCUUCGGAUGCUGACGAGUGGCGAACGGGUGAGUAAUACAUCGGAACGUGCCUAGUAGUGGGGGAUAACUACUCGAAAGAGUGGCUAAUACCGCAUGAGAUCUACGGAUGAAAGCAGGGGAUCGCAAGACCUUGUGCUACUAGAGCGGCCGAUGGCAGAUUAGGUAGUUGGUGGGAUAAAAGCUUACCAAGCCGACGAUCUGUAGCUAGUCUGAGAGGACGAUCAGCCACACUGGGACUGAGACACGGCCCAGACUCCUACGGGAGGCAGCAGUGGGGCAUUUUGGACAAUGGGCGCAAGCCUGAUCCAGCAAUGCCGCGUGCAGGAUGAAGGCCUUCGGGUUGUAAACUGCUUUUGUACGGAACGAAAAGCCCUGGGUUAAUACCCUGGGGUCAUGACGGUACCGUAAGAAUAAGCACCGGCUAACUACGUGCCAGCAGCCGCAGUAAAAC